rnacentral:lncRNA from 1 species
AAAAUAAUGGCUGAGGUCUUUUUGUUUCUCAUUUUGUUCUCUGAUUUAUUCCCAGCAUCUCAAACAGGACACGGCACACAGCAACCCCUCAGAACACAGGCAAGAGUGAGUGAGUGAGUGAACGCAGGGUGUCUGGGCUCAGCCUGUCCUGGGCAAUCCAGCUCUGGAGCCAAAUGUGUGUCCUCACCCACACCAACAAGAGGCCUCCCAAGCUCACAUCCGUGGAUCACCUCCGGGCCUGUCAACCGUGACUUCGUCAUACGCCUUGAUCGUCCCUCUCUCUCACACCAAGCAGCUCAUGAAAACAUCCCUUUCACCACACAGACUCCUUGAAGAGAGGCCUGGUAAAUAUGA